rnacentral:rRNA from 1 species
UACGUAGGGUGCGAGCGUUGUCCGGAAUUAUUGGGCGUAAAGAGCUCGUAGGCGGCUUGUCACGUCGGGUGUGAAAGCCCGGGGCUUAACCCCGGGUCUGCAUUCGAUACGGGCUAGCUAGAGUGUGGUAGGGGAGAUCGGAAUUCCUGGUGUAGCGGUGAAAUGCGCAGAUAUCAGGAGGAACACCGAUGGCGAAGGCAGGUCUCUGGGCCACUACUGACGCUGAGAAGCGAAAGCAUGGGGAGCGAACAGG